GAAAUUUAACUAUAGUAACGAAAUACUCAUUGCAGAACAAACAUUUUUAAAUUCAUUAUUAUACUAAAUAAAACAAAUUUUAAACCAACAAAAAUUAAAUUAUUUACGUAGGUCGUAGCCCGUAGGUACCUAUACCUAAAAACAAAGGUAUUCACCAUAAAAUUAUCUGUACAAUUAUCGACGAUUGACGUAAUAUUACGAAACGUAUUAUUACAAAUACUGAUAAAUUAUAUAAUUUUAAUUACGGCGCAUUUGAUAAUAUGGUUGACGACAAACGAGUUAAGACUGUGAUGAACAUAAUCGACAAAAUGUUGCACGACACAUCAAAACCAUGGACGAAUUUUUUCGGACGGAUGGAGACCCGAACUGGCGUACCUAGAUUGAAAGUACUGAUUGGACUUCUGCUGACAACUUCAGUCAUCCUGUUCAUUUUUGAGGAUACAGCUAUGGUGUUGAGCAACGCGAUCGGGUUGAUAUAUCCCGCGCAGGCGACGUUUUCACUGGUGUUCUCUCCACCCAGAUGGAAAAGUUAUGCUUCCGCCGCCGCCGCUGCGGAAGCCAAAAAUAAAAAAUUCACUUACUGGUUGAUAUUCAGUGCUUUGUUAAUCGUGGAACAGGUCUGUGGCUUUGUCCUAUUUUUAUUUCCGUGGUACAUACCGUUUAGAACAGUUUUCCUGAUGUGGUGUUCCGCGCCGAUCCGAAACAACGGUGCGGGUUAUAUAUUCAAAAACGUCAUUUAUAAAAACUUGGAGUCAACGCAGCGUAAGCCCUUCGUCAAUAGUUCCGGUGACAAAAACUUGAUGCAAAAUCGUCAUCCUAAUGGGCCGCCUUGUCGGCCACCUCAGCGAUCACCUCAGUCACCUCAUUCGACAUCUAUGCGGUCGGCAUUACGGAAAUGAACAUUUUACUGCAUUAAUAAUGUGGGAUCAGCGAGAGUACGUAUAUUAUAACGAAAUAUACUCGAAAGAAAAUCGGUGUAUAAGCCGCACCGUUAUUUCGGAUCGGUGCUGAAAACCACAUCAGGAAAACUGUUCUAAACGGUAUGUACCACGGAAAUAAAAAUAGGACGAAUCCGCAGACCUGCUCCACGAUCAACAACGCAC